rnacentral:snRNA from 1 species
GUCCUCACUUCAGCAGCACAUGUACUAAAAAACUGGAACAAUAUAGAGAUUAGCAUGGUCCCUGCGCAAGGAUGACAUAGAAAUAGAAAUUCAUGAGCGUUCU